GGGCUCGCUUUGGCAGCACGCUUGCUAAAGUUGGAACAGUACAGAGAAGGUUUGCAUGGCCCCUGUGCUAAGGUGACAUGCAUAUUCAUGAAGCAUUCCACAUUUCU